rnacentral:rRNA from 1 species
GAUGAACGCUGGCGGCGUGCCUACUACAUGCAAGUCGAGCGAAUGGAUUGAGAGCUUGCUCUUAUGAAGUUAGCGGCGGACGGGUGAGUAACACGUGGGUAACCUGCCCAUAAGACUGGGAUAACUCCGGGAAACCGGGGCUAAUACCGGAUAACAUUUUGAACCGCAUGGUUCGAAAUUGAAAGGCGGCUUCGGCUGUCACUUAUGGAUGGACCCGCGUCGCAUUAGCUAGUUGGUGAGGUAACGGCUCACCAAGGCAACGAUGCGUAGCCGGCCUGAGAGGGUGAUCGGCCACACUGGGACUGAGACACGGCCCAGACUCCUACGGGAGGCAGCAGUAGGGAAUCUUCCGCAAUGGACGAAAGUCUGACGGAGCAACGCCGCGUGAGUGAUGAAGGCUUUCGGGUCGUAAAACUCUGUUGUUAGGGAAGAGCAAGUGCUAGUUGAAUAAGCUGGCACCUUGACGGUACCUAACCAGAAAGCCACGGCUAACUACGUGCCAGCCGCCGCAGUAA